AUUGAACGCUGGCGGCAGGCCUAACACAUGCAAGUCGAGCGAGCGGCGGACGGGUGAGUAAUGUCUGGGAAACUGCCUGAUGGAGGGGGAUAACUACUGGAAACGGUAGCUAAUACCGCAUACCAUCAGAUGUGCCCAGAUGGGGUUUGCGCGGAGGUGGGGAAAUGGCUCACCUCGGCGACGAUCCCUAGCUGGUCUGAGAGGAUGACAAGCCACACUGGAACGGAGGAACGGUCCAGACUCCUACGGGAGGAAGCAGUGGGGAAUAUUGCACAAGGGGCGGAAGCCUGAUGCAGCCAGGCCGCGUGUAUGAAGAAGGCCUUCGGGUUGUAAAGUACUUUCAGCGAGGAGGCGUUACUCGCAGAAGAAGCACCGGCUAACUCCGUGCCAGCCGCCGCGGUAAUAC
rnacentral:rRNA from 1 species